CAUUGCCUGCCCUGUGCGUGAUAUCGCGUGUAUAAAACCCACAAUUGAAAAUACGGAUCCGGCUUUUGCAGUGGGAAUGCAGGCCUCUUGCCUUGUCCGCGACUGUGCCACCUGUGGCACGGUCCCGAUGAGACGCAAACGUUGGUUGCACAAAGCUGCAAAGAGGAUACCGACCUUGUGGAUACGCAAGGGUUUUCAAUCCACGCUUUACACGGCACGGCGGGUAUUUU
rnacentral:other from 1 species